rnacentral:rRNA from 1 species
UACGUAGGGUGCGAGCGUUGUCCGGAAUUAUUGGGCGUAAAGAGCUCGUAGGCGGUGUGUCGCGUCGGCCGUGAAAACCUGGGGCUCAACUCUGGGCGUGCGGUCGAUACGGGCAUCACUUGAGUUUCGGCAGGGGAGACUGGAAUUCCUGGUGUAGCGGUGAAAUGCGCAGAUAUCAGGAGGAACACCGGUGGCGAAGGCGGUUCUCUGGGCAUGUCCUG